CGAAGAGGAAAAAUCUGCUGGUCUGAGCGAGGAUUCCAAUAUUACAUCUAAAACCUCGCAGGCUUCAAAAAGGAAUAGGAAGUCAAAAACAAAUCUACCUAAAAAUGAUGACUCACAUUCACCAUUUCCUAGUUCUGUUAUCUUUUCACAUACUGAGGAUAGCUUGAAUAAUAACGAGGCUGAAGUUGAGGCUCCUAUCAGUGCAAAAAAUUUGAAACUUGGGACAAAGGUUACUGCCAAGAUUUACCAAAUUCGUAGACAUGGGUUGGUCCUUGAUUUGGGUGG
rnacentral:misc_RNA from 1 species